AUUGAGCCCGUGUUUGGUUGGGCUCAUUCGUUUGCGCCUCUUCCCUCCUCCCUUCCUCCGCCACCGUCUCUUUCGCUUCGACGAUGGCGAGCGGAAGAUGGAGGGCGGCCUGUGAGCGAAGGAUAAGGGCGCGAGCGGAUGGCGAUAACGAUCGGUAGUGACGGCGUCGAAAGCGAAAUGGAACUCUGAAUUCUGUCGGAGCAAUGGUGGUGGCUCCAAGUCGGAGAGGUUCAUAUCAAUCAGGGAUCGCAGUAUGUCAUCCAAUGAGAAUGGAUGUCAGCAUUUGUUCUUGAGUCGGUGGAAGAGAUAUCAAAUAGGUUAAAGUUCAUAUUUUAAUUACUAGGUCAUCUCAGAGGACUUCAAGAACAGAGGAGAUGUUGAUGGGGGGAUUCAGUAGGAUGAAUAUACUCACAUCCUGAGAUAAACCAUGUGUGCCGUAUUUGUCAUCCCAAAACAUGGUACCAAUUCUAUAGAUUUGAGGAACACUCAAGACCUGGAACCAAUCAAUUGAUAUUGUCAGAUCCCAAAAUUCUAUAGUUUUCAGCGAGAAUUUAGCUUCUGACUUACUGGGCAGAGUUCGUUUGUGAUCUCCUCCAAGGAUUUGUGGGACUUCUGAUGCAAAACCUGCCCAGGAUAAGGUGUGCUUUGUUUACCUAUCUGUGUAAAACUAUCUGUAAUUCAUGAUGACACGAUACUGGACGUACCAGAAAUCCGACUGCCUGUCUUAUGUGUUGAAGCUCAUCCCAUGAGGUUCCAGCAAACUGCAAAUAGAUGGUUAAUAUUGGUCGAUUGCGAAGCAACUGAUUCUCUGACUCCAAUGUGCUGAUCUUGCCUUCGAGGCUGAAGAACAGUUCCAAUUUAUAAAUCAAGCUCUUUGGGAAGUCAUUUUAGAGACAAAAUAUCAAUUCGUAAUGUAAGGGCACGUGUAAUUCCAUAUCAGGUGAGUUCUUCGACCUUCUUUUCAAGCUUGUCCUUGGCUUCUUUGAGUGCUCCUGUCUCUCUUGCAGCCUGCAUAAACAUUUUGUCAGUAUUUGUACUUCUCUUCCAUAACAUCCAACAAACUGUAGACAAGAACGAGCUUUGUAUAGACGCCAUUGAGUCUGCAGGCCACAACAAAAAAUAGAUUAAUACUUCUAAUCAAUCUUAAGCAUGAGAACGUGCAUAUUUCUGAAUGCGGAUUGAGGCAUCUUCUCUCCUCAUGCCUUCAUAUAACUUGCGUGCAAGACGUGCUGCAGAUGGCUUUGCGCAGUAUUAUGAAUUCUUUUCGAGCAAGAUGUGUGCGUAUCUGCCUCUGAAUUAGUUUGGAAGCAUUAGAUAAGACUUCCAUUCGUCGGGCAUCUAGCUCAGCCAUCUGACCAGCUCUGAGGAACACUUUUGUCUUUCCUAUCUGAUAGCAAGAUACGUGAGUGGUGUUUAGAUUUAGAAUAUAUAAUUCAUAUUCAUUUAGAUAGUUUCUAUCUCUGAUGUACUUUUUCUUAGUUUAUUGUUUAUUCACUGAAUGCACCUGAUAACCUUUCAAGCCCAUAUUGUCACAUAUAGCUGCACAUGCUGCUUUUUCGUCGGAGCUGCAAGAUUCAUUUGGUCUGGUGCAAGAAUUCCAAAGCGAUCAACAAAUUCAUCAAAUGUUCUCUUUGUGGGAUAGCCAGCACAACUAAUCCUGAUUGCCUCUAGCACACCCUAGAUUAGGAGAGAAGAGGACAUUGAAAUUCUCAAAGAUGCCUGGUUUUAAGACUGCAUUGGGCUUCACACAUCUGAUGUAAUGUGGUUCUGUCGUGCUCAAUGUUUCCAUAAGUGCUUGAAGUUGUUGCUGCAAAUUUCACCUAAAGAACUAUCACAAAAUUGAAGAAGAGCAUCAGAACUGAUAAUAUUUCAAAUCUGUAGCCCUUGCAUACCUUAAAGCGAGUGCCUAUUGAGGAGAACUUUGACUGUUUUGAAGUUUCCUCUGCUAAUGGUGGAAAGAGGUUUGCCACAAAAGGGCACUUUGAAUCGUUUAAAAGAGCUUGAUGUUCUGCGACAACAUAGUCUUUGUUCUUAUCAAGGAAUUGAUCAGCUUGCAUAAUGGUUGAUGGUGAAUGCAGUGCGUGCAAGUUUUGGCUUGCUAAAACGUUUGUGGCUUUUGUAUGUUUGGUACAUCUUCUGAGCAAAGAUAAUUUUCCAACCAAAAGAAAAGAAGGAAACAGAUGUACCAUGCUUCAUCAAGUAGCGCAACUAUUCCACCGGGUUUCUGCAUUGAAACAGGGUUUGAAUUGCUCAUUGUGGGUAUAGUGUGAAUGCCAAGGGCGAUGUGUCUUUUACCUCCAAGACCUGCUGCUCGACGGUUCGGCCCUCUGUACCUGAUCUCCCUCCCAUGAAAGCUAGAUAUCUCAUGAGCAUCUUCGUGGUCUCUGUUUUGCCAGCUCCGCUCUCUCCGCUAACCAAGAUCGAUUGGCUUCCAUGGUCAUUUAUGAUUGCCCUGAUAUUGCCUCAAUGGCAGUUUCAUAUUAGUACACUUCAAUUAGAAUGUGAUGAUAGCACUCUGAACUCUUUACACACUACCUGUAGCAAGCAUCUGCAACUGCAAAAAGAUGAGGACUUAGCUCACCGAAAGCAGCACCCUUGUACUGUUCCAUCAUGUGGACAUCAUACAGAUGUGGAAGUCUCCGAAAGGGGUUCACGGCUAUCAAUAUAUUUCCAGUGUUGAUCAGGAAGAUAGAACGUACAUAAAUCUCAUUCAGUGCAUAGCGAGCUGCGAGGUUAUUCAGAACUCCUGGUUCAUGGAGGUAAGCCAAUUUGGUCAUGUCAUCCACUCCAGCCUGAGGAGCCUCUGUAUCUUUCGGGUAUAUACUCGACAGACUAGCCACGACCUGCGUAAUUGAUCGAGACUAGUGAGAUAUGCUGCUGAAAAGUAUUGAGAUACUUCAGGCUGGAGCAAACAAUAUCAUCUUCCGCUAUCAAAACGAGAAAUUGUCGACUUCAUUGUAACAUUUGUCUGUUCUAGUAAAUCCAUCGCACCGAGAAAGAAACUGUAUGAUCUUAUAAAAUAGUCUCCAGAAGUAGAUGACCCAUUUGUUGUGAUACAACACGAGUAAAUCGUUGCAGAUUUGUAUAUGAAUUACUAACUGGAUUCCAUCUUAUACGACCCUCGUGGCUUGAUUCUUCA